rnacentral:rRNA from 1 species
UAANGUGGCGCACGGAUGAGUAACGCGUGGGUAAUUUGCCUUCAAAUCGGGGAUAACGUGCCGAAAGGCGUGCUAAUACCGGAUGAAAUCACAAUGACUUUGGUUGAUGUGAUCAAAGGUAGCCUAUUCAAGAAAGCUACUGUUUGGAGAUAAGCCCGCGUACCAUUAGCUAGUUGGCAGGGUAAAGGCCUACCAAGGCGACGAUGGUUAGCUGGUCUGAGAGGAUGACCAGCCACACUGGGACUGACACACGGUCCAGACUCCUACGGGAGGCAGCAGUGAGGAAUUUUGCGCAAUGGGCGAAAGCCUGACGCAGCAACGCCGCGUGAGUGAUGAAGGCCUUCGGGUCGUAAAGCUCUGUCAAGUGGGAAGAAAGUGGAUAAGUCGAACAGGCUUAUUUAUUGACGGUACCACUGAAGGAAGCACCGGCUAACUCCGUGCCAGCAGCCGCGGUAAUACGGAGGGUGCGAGCGUUAUUCGGAAUUAUUGGGCGUAAAGGGCGCGUAGGCGGCCGAAAAAGUCAGUUGUGAAAUCCCGGGGCUUANCCCCGGAAGUGCGAUUGAAACUAUUUGGCUUGAGUA